rnacentral:rRNA from 1 species
GACGAACGCUGGCGGCGUGCUUAACACAUGCAAGUCGAACGGAAAGGCCUCUUUCGGGGGGUACUCGAGUGGCGAACGGGUGAGUAACACGUGAGUAACCUGCCCUUGACUUUGGGAUAACUUCAGGAAACUGGGGCUAAUACCGGAUAGGAGCUCCUGCUGCAUGGUGGGGGUUGGAAAGUUUCGGCGGUUGGGGAUGGACUCGCGGCUUAUCAGCUUGUUGGUGGGGUAGUGGCUUACCAAGGCUUUGACGGGUAGCCGGCCUGAGAGGGUGACCGGCCACAUUGGGACUGAGAUACGGCCCAGAAUCCUACGGGAGGCAGCAGUGGGGAAUAUUGCACAAUGGGUGGAAGCCUGAUGCAGCAACGCCGUGUGCGGGAUGACGGCCUUCGGGUUGUAAACCGCUUUCGCUCAUGACGAAGCUUUGUGUGACGGUAGUGGGUAAAGAAGCACCGGCUAACUACGUG